rnacentral:rRNA from 1 species
UACAGAGGUCCCAAGCGUUGUUCGGAUUCACUGGGCGUAAAGGGUGCGUAGGUGGUUUGGUAGGUCUGAUGUGAAAUCUUCGAGCUCAACUCGGAAACUGCAUUGGAUACUAUCGAGCUAGAGGAUUGGAGGGGGGACUGGAAUUCUUGGUGUAGCAGUGAAAUGCGUAGAUAUCAAGAGGAACACCAGUGGCGAAGGCGAGUCCCUGGACAACUCCUGACACUGAGGCACGAAAGCUAGGGGAGCAAACAGG